rnacentral:rRNA from 1 species
GGAGUUUGGACCGUGUCUCAGUUCCAAUGUGGCUGAUCAUCCGCUAAAACCAGCUAGAGAUCGUCGCCUAGGUGGGCUAUUACCCCGCCUACUAGCUAAUCCCGUUUGGGCUCAUCUAUCAGCUAAUGGUCUUUCGAUCCCAUUACUUUCCUCCUCAGAGCGUACGCGGUUUUAUCAACCGUUUCCAGUUGCUAUCCCCCUCUGAUAGGUAGAUUCCCAAAUAUUACUCACCCGUCCGCCACUCGUCAUCAAAAGUAUUGCUACUUCCAUGUUACCGUUCGACUUGCAUGUGUUAAGCCUGUAGCUAGCGUUCAUC